rnacentral:rRNA from 1 species
GUGAACGCUGGCGGUAGGCCUAACACAUGCAAGUCGAACGGCAGCACAGUAAGAGCUUGCUCUUACGGGUGGCGAGUGGCGGACGGGUGAGGAAUACAUCGGAAUCUACUUUUUCGUGGGGGAUAACGUAGGGAAACUUACUCUAAUACCGCAUACGACCUACGGGUGAAAGCAGGGGAUCUUCGGACCUUGCGCGAUUGAAUGAGCCGAUGUCGGAUUAGCUAGUUGGCGGGGUAAAGGCCCACCAAGGCGACGAUCCGUAGCUGGUCUGAGAGGAUGAUCAGCCACAAUUGAACUGAGACACGGUCCAGACUCCUACGGGAGGAAGCAGUGGGGAAUAUUGGACAAUGGGCGCAAGCCUGAUCCAGCCAUACCGCGUGGGUGAAGAAGGCCUUCGGGUUGUAAAGCCCUUUUGUUGGGAAAGAAAAGCAGCAGGUUAAUACCCCGCUGUUCUGACGGUACCCAAAGAAUAAGCACCGGCUAACUUCGUG